AAGCGGAGGAAAAGAAACCAACAGGGAUUGCCUCAGUAACGGCGAGUGAAGCGGCAAAAGCUCAAAUUUGAAACCCUCGGGAUUGUAAUUUGAAGAUUUGGCAUUGGAGAAAGCUAACCCAAGUUGCUUGGAAUAGUACGUCAUAGAGGGUGACAACCCCGUCUGGCUAACCGUUCUCCAUGUAUUGCCUUAUCAAAGAGUCGAGUUGUUUGGGAAUGCAGCUCAAAGUGGGUGGUAAACUCCAUCUAAAGCUAAAUACUGGUGAGAGACCGAUAGCGAACAAGUACUGUGAAGGAAAGGUGAAAAGAACUUUGAAAAGAGAGUGAAAUAGUAUGUGAAAUUGUUGAUAGGGAAGGAAAUGAGUGGAGAGUGGCCGAGGUUUCAGCCGCCCCUCGUGGGCGGUGUACUGCCGACGCCGAGUCAUCGAUAGCGAGACGAGGGUUACAAAUGGGAGCGCCUUCGGGCGUUCUCCCCUAACCCUCCACACUGCCACCGACGACAUAAUCCACCCAUUUCACCCGUCUUGAACCACGGACCA
rnacentral:rRNA from 1 species